GACAAACCUUCCCAAGCGAGACCUGCGAACGCAUGAACUGAUAGUAGGAUGCGCAGAACGGUCUACGCAGUCCGCCGACGCAGGUUGUGUCUCGCUUAGGUUCAAUUUGCGCCGGGCCUAACUCCGUCACUCAGUACUCAGCCGUCAAACAACGAUAGUGGAAUGUGGAAUAAGCAAGGUUGUCAAUUUUAGCGCUUCCUUCAGUCGCCUAUAGCCAAUCGAAAUUGAACGUAUUGUACAUAUAUUACAAGUCGAUAGAAUGCCAGAUAAAAAAGUUUACAUAUUGCAUAUAUAUUACUUUUGCAUGAUGUUAUAAUAUUUCUAGUCAACACAGUCCUUUUAAACUUGUGCUCGUCUCUUCAUUAAUAUUGCAUGUAAAUGUUGUAUAAGACAUUGUAACAUAUAUAAAUCUUUAUACAAAAAAUUAAAUAUAUUAAUUGGUGUCAUUUUUGGAAUAUAUUUUAUGAUGUCUUUUUUUAACAGAUGUAUUUUUUAACGUUUUCACUGGUUUGUCUAACAUUAGUUAUUUAUUUACUUUUAGUUGGUAGGUAGUAUUCUACAUUUCAUUUAAUACUUUUAUUGACGAUGGUGAAAUGUGAAUAAAUUUUGGACAGUUCUUUCUAAUUUUUUAUUUCUUUUGGUGGUCAUACAAGUUUUCUCCGAAAUCUCUGAAUUUGUCCUCAUUUUGUCGCAUCAUAAUAAUCAUCGGUUAUAUAACUCUAUGUGAUUCUUGGUCACCUUUACUUUGUUCCUUCGCUGUUGAUAUGUUAGAUAACUUGGGGAGUUAUUUCCCAUUGUUUUACUCCACUUUUACAUAGAUCUUUUUUGAAGACUAAUAAUUGAACUACUAUGGGUCUGAGUCUUUCCCAGAAUGUUGUGUUAAGGAGUCUUUCAUCACUAGAUCUUAGUACAUGUCCCGUCCAUCUUAUUGGGUUUGUCUUGAUGUAGCCUGCUAUUUUUUAUCCCGAUAGAAUGUGUGGUAUUCUUCUCUAUUCCCCUGUUCUAGAACCUAGCUUCCAGGUUAUUUUCGUAGCUAUUUUCGAAGUUGUAUUUAUUUAUGGAUGGAUUUUGUCUAACUCUUGGCACCCAUCAUGUUCUUGGUCUUUUCGUUGACCUUCAGACCAGUUUUCUUAGCCUUGUUUUUAAAUAGGGCGAAUACAGCCUUUGCAGAUGUGGUGGAUUGUGAAAUUGUGUCCACAUCGUUAGCAAAAGCCACUAGUAUUUUUUAUUCCUGGUAAGCAAAGCCUUUUGCCAGCUCUGGUUGUGCUUUCCUUACUGAAAAUUUCGAAUCUCCUUAUCCAAGACCAGUCUCAAUAAGAAAUUCUUCUGAUAUGGUGUUGGGUGUUGCCAAUUCUUAUCAGUGCAGAUGAAUUCUCUACGCAUAUCUGUGCUAAUCGUACCGACUUUGUAGUGACUUACAUUUUCACCACGUCUUUCUACAAAAAAUCUCAUCUAACAUAAUCAUACGCUCAUUUUGCCGCAGGAAGAUAAUUUCUCAGAUAUUUGAUCUACUCCCAAAUACCCUUCAGGUUGAAAUACCCCCUAUAUAGUGAUGAGUGCACUAAAAUCCGGCAAAAUAGCGCAAACGACGGAAAACAUAAUACGUUGUGAUAUAAAAAGAGAUAAAACUAGUAGAGGUGUAAAAUUAUCGAUAGGAACCUAUAAAUUAUUAACCAUUAUAUUGAUAGUUUCCCACUUUUAGACGUAUCGCAGGAGUUUGGCAACUGCCACUGUGACAGGAGAAUUUUAUAAAAUUUGUCUGUUACAUUUUGACUCCGAUACGUCUAAAGGUAGGAAACUAUCAAUAACAUGUAAAGUUAUAAGGUUUCUAUUGAUAAUUUCCCACCACUACUAGUUUCAUCUCUUUUUAUUUUACAACGAAUUAUGUUUUCUGUCUUUUCCGUUAUUUUGCCGGUUAUUAGAGCAACCAUCACUGUAUACAUCAGUGGCUAGCAGAGAUAUUUGUAGGGCAAAAGUCUACAUUUUUUCAGAUAACCAAUUGGCUUAAAAGGCUUUGCAUUAUUUUACCUACGAUUCAAGGGUCUGCAAUACCGUUGUAAUUCUGAAGGGUUUACAAAAGUUCUCUCUUCUUUAAAACCCCUUUUUGAUUUUUGCAGCUAGGACACUCUGAUCAAAAGAUAUCGAAUUUUUACUGUCGAGUUGGUACAAAUUUUAUUUAAAAAAUUGAUUUCGUGCGUGUAACACUUCAAAAUCGCCGGUCGCUUCAAGCGUCUUCUCUGAGAGAACGCUUCAUUCUACGCAAAAAGUGCUAAUAGACAUUUUUGUUCAAAAUUAGCUCAGCUACAUUUCUUGUUUAAAACGUUCUUUUCUAAAGCAUACAGAUUCUUGGGAAAUCGAUGUCUUCCGUUCUUACUUCCCUACGGGGGGUGGUGUUUAGUAGGGGGAAGCCCGGGAGUAGGACUGGCAAACUUUUUUGCAUCUUUUUGGGGAUCCAAAAUUGACAUCCAGAUCAAAAUCCAGCUUGUUCAUCUCCUUUUUAGACAUCAAAUGUCUGACGAUUGGACUAUUUUGGUUUUUCCUAUUCUUCUUACGGUGCCUUAUACGGAAGUUGGCUAUAUUAAAUUUGCCCAUUUAAUCUUAUUUACAGCCGCCCUGAAUAGUUCUAUGGAGGUCAUAUUUGUCCAUUGUCGUAUGUUUUUAAGCAAAGAGUUGCGUCUUCUUCCUGGUCCCCUUCUGCUAUUGAUUUCGAUUAUAAGUUGGAGCAGUUCAUACUUUUGAUUUCUUACGAUGUGACCAAAAUAUUGUGUUUUCCGUUCCUUUAUUACAAGCAUAAUCUCUUUUUACAAGCUAUGGCUUGUAGGAUAUUCUGAGCAUUUUACGGUAACACCAGAGUUCGAAUGCUUGGAUUCUUUUUUGUGUUCCUUCUGUCAUUGUCCAGGCUUUAACACCAUAGAGCACGGUGGAGAAAGCAUAGCACUUAAGUAUUCCAGUUCUCAAUGAGAUACCCAGCUGGCGGUUGCAUUGGGUAUGUUUGGGUUUGGGUAUGUUUUUCUUAUUGGGCAUGUUUAACAAGAGCUCUGAACAAAUACAUCUUUGUUAAAUUAUUUUUUUAACAAAUCAUUUUGUUGUAUUUUCCCAAAAUAUAUUUUUAUAACAAAUAUACAUAUUUUAGACAUAUUUUAUAAAGGUGUUGGUAUAAAUAUGUAGCUCGUAACUUUUUUAAUUAUUAGAUAAAGACUUAAAUUAUUGUGAUAUUUCUACUUACAACAAAUAUCUUAAAAUUGACGCUUGUGAUGUAAAUGCUUUCCUUUUAGAUUUGUACUGCUAUUUUUGUAUUUUUUGUAAUAUAUGUCUACACCUUCC
rnacentral:lncRNA from 1 species